CAGCUACACAUGCAGUCGAGCGGAUGAGGGGAGCUUGCUUCCUGAUUCAGCGGCGGACGGGUGAGUAAUGCCUAGGAAUCUGCCUGGUAGUGGGGGACAACGUCUCGAAAGGGACGCUAAUACCGCAUACGUCCUACGGGAGAAAGCAGGGGACCUUCGGGCCUUGCGCUAUCAGAUGAGCCUAGGUCGGAUUAGCUAGUUGGUGAGGUAAUGGCUCACCAAGGCUGCGAUCCGUAACUGGUCUGAGAGGAUGAUCAGUCACACUGGAACUGAGACACGGUCCAGACUCCUACGGGAGGCAGCAGUGGGGAAUAUUGGACAAUGGGCGAAAGCCUGAUCCAGCCAUGCCGCGUGUGUGAAGAAGGUCUUCGGAUUGUAAAGCACUUUAAGUUGGGAGGAAGGGCAGUAAGUUAAUACCUUGCUGUUUUGACGUUACCGACAGAAUAAGCACCGGCUAACUUCGUGCCAGCAGCCGCGGUAAUACGAAGGGUGCAAGCGUUAAUCGGAAUUACUGGGCGUAAAGCGCGCGUAGGUGGUUUGUUAAGUUGGAAGUGAAAGCCCCGGGCUCAACCUGGGAACUGCUUUCAAAACUGGCAAGCUAGAGUAUGGCAGAGGGUGGUGGAAUUUCCUGUGUAGCGGUGAAAUGCGUAGAUAUAGGAA
rnacentral:rRNA from 1 species